GGUUUUAGAUGUGUUUCAGUUUGUUUUUGUAUAUGAAGCAACAGUACGUAUAUCUCGUACUGACAGAAACUCAAUUUAUUAAGAAGAAGAAGAAGAAGAUGAUGAUGAUGAUGCAUCGUUAUGAUUUACGACGAGAAGAUUUGUUUGUGUUUCCGGGUUCAAAGUGAUCAUUUUGAUGAGUUUUUCGCCCCUGAGUUGGACAAACAUGGUUAUCAAGCUCUCUACAAGAAGAAGACAACAGAGGUUUACACCGGGACUUAUACUAUCGAUGGUUGUGCAACAUUUUUCUGAAGGGACAGAUUU